rnacentral:rRNA from 1 species
GUAGGUGAACCUGGGAAGGAUCAUUGAAGUCCGCUUUUGCGGUAUUGUAUACUUCACUUGUGCUGUUAUCUAUACAUUCUCCUCAUGUACGGACGAGGUGAGGGUUUGUGAACACUAUGUUAACUGGUCCGAUUGGUCUGUGUACCAUUUGAACAUGUAUAAGUUCUACGCAAGGCAUUAUUGCUAUGAAUUGUAUAUUCAAUUGUUUCUUGUACGAACCAUGCUGGAUAAUAUUUACUAUGUACGGUGAAUCACUUGGCUCGCGAAUCGAGGAAGAACAUUGCAACAUGUGAUAAGUUCUCUGAACUGUUGUGAUUACAGACGAGAUAAAUUUUGAACGCAAAUGGCUACCGUGGAUGUAAGUUCAUGGUAACGUCACUCUGAGUCGUAUUCCUGUCAUAUAGUAUGCAUGUGAUACUUGAUCGGCGUCAAGCUUCGUGCCAUAUGAAUUGUAUGUCGUUCGCUAUUCGAAUGACUGGCUAAGAAAGCUUGUCUGCCUAGCUGUGCGUGAUUUAAGAGCGGGUUUCCCCUUGAGUGUUACUACUCUUUACCGAUCUUGAUUGUAUUCGCGCUUCUAUGAAUGCUUGCUUUACGACUCAGAUGUGAUGAGACAAUCCGCUGAAUUUAAGCAUAUUAAUAAGCGGAAGAAGAGAAACUAACAAGGAUACUGUUCGUAAUGGCGAAUGAACACUGUUUUACCACUAUCGAACCUUACAUUAACUCAAUGUAUGGAGUGUGAUAUUGGUGUGAUUCGAUGUGGUCGUCUUUAGCUAUGAAAGUUUGAUUGAUUGCAACUAUUCAUAGAGGGUGAAAGUCCCGUAUCACUGCUAAUUGACGAUUCACUUGUUUUGCGCAUGAGUAAAGCUGUUUCGAACUGCAGCUUGAAUGUACGUGGUGAACUCCAUGUAAGAUUCAAUAUGUUCGCGAGACCGAUAGAGGACAAGUACCGUGAGGGAAAGUUGAAAAGUACUCUGGAAAGAGAGUGAACAAGCCUGUGCAACUGUACAUUGCAAAGCGAAUGACAGAAAGUGCAAACUCGUUGCUUAAUUGCUUAUUCGUCAAUAAUUGAUGGUGGCUAUUUCUUGGAACGACGUUAAGCAGCUGGCCUGAUGAGUUUUGCUAAUGCGGUGCCUGUCGAUUAUGAUCUUUGAUGUGCGAACAAGUAUCGUUUCGUUAUUUGUUGCUCAUCAUGUUAGUGCGCUGAGCACUACAACUAACAUGGCUGGUAUUUACUGAUUACUUGACAUUGAUCCAGAUUAUUGGAUUGUCAAGUUCACUUGGUGCAUUAGUUCAAUGAUCUGUCAUCUGAACCGUCUUGAAACACGGACUAAGGAGUUCAACUUGAGCGCAAGUCGACUACAUGAAUAAAGUAUGGGGCACAGUGAAAGCAAUCUUGCAAUGAAUGUGAACUGAAGUUGCAAUUGUACACUGAAGGUUAGCACAUGAUCUGGGUGGCAGUUUAUUACUUGCCUACUGCAACAGAGCGCUUUGGUUGUGACCCGAAAGAUGGUGAACUAUGCCUGAUUAGGAUGAAGCCAGGGGAAACCCUGGUGGAAGUCCGCAACGAUUUUGACGUGCAAAUCAAUCGCCAGAGUUGGGUAUAGCGGCGAAAGACUAAUCGAACCAUCUAGUUGCUGGUUCCCUCCGAAGUUUCC